rnacentral:rRNA from 1 species
GAUGAACGCUGGCGGCGUGCCUAAUACAUGCAAGUCGAGCGAACGGACGAGAAGCUUGCUUCUCUGAUGUUAGCGGCGGACGGGUGAGUAACACGUGGAUAACCUACCUAUAAGACUGGGAUAACUUCGGGAAACCGGAGCUAAUACCGGAUGAUAUUUUGAACCGCAUGGUUCAAAAGUGAAAGACGGUCUUGCUGUCACUUAUAGAUGGAUCCGCGCUGCAUUAGCUAGUUGGUAAGGUAACGGCUUACCAAGGCAACGAUGCAUAGCCGGCCUGAGAGGAUGAGCAGCGACAGUGGGAGUGAGACAAGGCCAAGACUCGUAGGGGAGGGAGCGGGGGGGAAGUGGGGAAAAUGGGGGAAAGCCUGGUGAAGUAAUGCCGCGUGGAGGAAGAAGGAAUUCGGGGGGGAAAAUGAUUUUGUACGGAACGAAAGGGAUCUGGUUAAUACCCGGGGCUAAUGACGGUACCGGAAGAAUAAGCACGGGGUAACUAAGGG